GCAUAUCAAUAAGCGGAGGAAAAGAAACCAACAGGGAUUGCCCUAGUAACGGCGAGUGAAGCGGCAACAGCUCAAAUUUGAAAUCUGGCGUCUUUGGCGUCCGAGUUGUAAUUUGCAGAGGGCGCUUUGGCAUUGGCAGCGGUCCAAGUUCCUUGGANACAGGACGUCACAGAGGGUGAGAAUCCCGUACGUGGUCGCUAGCCUUUACCGUGUAAAGCCCCUUCGACGAGUCGAGUUGUUUGGGAAUGCAGCUCUAAAUGGGAGGUAAAUUUCUUCUAAAGCUAAAUACUGGCCAGAGACCGAUAGCGCACAAGUAGAGUGAUCGAAAGAUGAAAAGCACUUUGGAAAGAGAGUUAAAAAGCACGUGAAAUUGUUGAAAGGGAAGCGCUUGCAGCCAGACUUGCCUGUAGUUGCUCAUCCGGGUUUUUACCCGGUGCACUCUUCUAUAGGCAGGCCAGCAUCAGUUUGGGCGGUUGGAUAAAGGUCUCUGUCACGUACCUCCUCUCGGGGAGAACUUAUAGGGGAGACGUAAUGCAACCAGCCUGGACUGAGGUCCGCGCAUCUGCUAGGAUG
rnacentral:rRNA from 1 species